rnacentral:tRNA from 1 species
GGGGUUGUGGCUCAGUGGUACAGCACUUGCCUAGCAUGCACGAGGCACUGGGUUCGAUCCUCAGCACCA